rnacentral:rRNA from 1 species
AACGGUGGUGGAAAGUUUUUCGGUCAGGGAUGGGCCCGCGGCCUAUCAGCUAGUUGGUGGGGUAAUGGCCCACCAAGGCGACGACGGGUAGCCGGCCUGAGAGGGCGACCGGCCACACUGGGACUGAGACACGGCCCAGACUCCUACGGGAGGCAGCAGUGGGGAAUAUUGCGCAAUGGGCGAAAGCCUGACGCAGCGACGCCGCGUGAGGGACGAAGGCCUUCGGGUUGUAAACCUCUUUCAGCAGGGACGAAAUUGACGGUACCUGCAGAAGAAGCACCGGCUAACUACGUGCCAGCAGCCGCGGUAAUACGUAGGGUGCAAGCGUUGUCCGGAUUUAUUGGGCGUAAAGAGCUCGUAGGCGGUCUGUCGCGUCGGAUGUGAAAACUUGGGGCUCAACCCUGAGCUUGCAUUCGAUACGGGCAGACUAGAGGAUGGCAGGGGAGACUGGAAUUCCUGAUGUAGCGGUGGAAUGCGCAGAUAUCAGGAGGACACCGGUGGCGAAGGCGGGUCUCUGGGCAUUUCUGACCUGAGGAGCGAAACGUGGGGAGCAGACAGGA